UUUUUUUUUUAGCAUCUUUUGUUUUAAAUGAAAAUGAUUCCUUUUCAUUUGAAGAAUACAAAAAUUACCACUCCCAACACCCGGGACCUCUCUCAGAGAGGUCCUUCAAAAAAUGGAAAGAUCAUGGCGGAAUGGAUAAGCCCUCCUUUAAAUGGAGGGCUCA